rnacentral:lncRNA from 1 species
GAACUUGGGCGCUUUGCUCACUUCACUUGCUUGUCCCACUUGCCCUUACACACCUCACCCUAAACCACCGAAGCGUCCUCCAAUAAAGCCACCAAAGCCUCCUGUGACUCCUCCAAUAAAGCCACCAAAGCCUCCUAUAAAGCCACCAAAACCUCCUGUGACUCCUCCUAUAAAGCCACCAAAGCCUCCUAUUAAGCCACCAAAGCCUCCUGUGACUCCUCCUAUAAAGCCACCAAAGCCUCCAGUGACUCCUCCAGUAAUACCAAUACCACCAACUCUUCCUCCACCAAAGCCUCCAGUGACUCCUCCAGUAAUACCAACACCACCAAUUCUUCCUCCACCAGAGCCUCCAGUAAUACCAACACCACCAAUCGUGAAGCCACCACCAACA